rnacentral:rRNA from 1 species
UUUAAAGAAAGCGUAAUAGCUCACUGGUCGAGUCGGCCUGCGCGGAAGAUGUAACGGGGCUAAACCAUGCACCGAAGCUGCGGCAGCGACGUUUAGGCGUUGUUGGGUAGGGGAGCGUUCUGUAAGCCGUUGAAGGUGGCCUGUGAGGGUUGCUGGAGGUAUCAGAAGUGCGAAUGCUGACAUAAGUAACGAUAAAGCGGGUGAAAAGCCCGCUCGCCGGAAGACCAAGGGUUCCUGUCCAACGUUAAUCGGGGCAGGGUGAGUCGACCCCUAAGGCGAGGCUGAAAAGCGUAGUCGAUGGGAAACAGGUUAAUAUUCCUGUACUUGGUGUUACUGCGAAGGGGGGACGGAGAAGGCUAGGCUAGCCGGGCGACGGUUGUCCCGGUUUAAGCGUGUAGGGGGUGUGACCUGGUAAAUCCGGUUGCAUAUCAACCCUGAGGCGUGAUGACGAUGCACUACGGUGCAGAAGUAGUUGAUGCCCUGCUUCCAGGAAAAGCCUCUAAGCUCUAGGUAACAUUAAAUCGUACCCCAAACCGACACAGGUGGUCAGGUAGAGAAUACCAAGGCGCUUGAGAGAACUCGGGUGAAGGAACUAGGCAAAAUGGUGCCG